rnacentral:rRNA from 1 species
UACGUAGGGGGCUAGCGUUGUCCGGACUCAUUGGGCGUACAGCGCGUGUAGGCGGUCCGGUAAGUCCGCUGUGAAAGUCGAGGGCUCAACCCUCGAAUGCCGGUGGAUACUGUCGGGCUUGAGUACGGGAGAGGCGAGUGGAAUUCCUGGUGUAGCGGUGAAAUGCGCAGAUAUCAGGAGGAACACCGAUUGCGAAGGCAGCUCGCUGGAACGUUACUGACGCUGAGACGCGAAAGCGUGGGGAGCAAACAGG